rnacentral:rRNA from 1 species
GGAUGGUUGAGUUUCUCGCCUCUCUGUUCUGCCUGUAUUCUACCCUUGUUUGUCAUAUACUAUUAUUUCCUCGGCAGGCUUGCUUGCCGAGUGAAACCAAUUAUAACCUAUUUAAUUUUCAAUCAGCGUCUGAACAAAAUUAAUAAUUACAACUUUCAACAACGGAUCUCUUGGUUCUGGCAUCGAUGAAGAACGCAGCGAAAUGCGAUAAGUAGUGUGAAUUGCAGAAUUCAGUGAAUCAUCGAAUCUUUGAACGCACAUUGCGCCCCUUGGUAUUCCAUGGGGCAUGCCUGUUCGAGCGUCAUUUGUACCUUCAAGCUUUGCUUGGUGUUGGGUGUUUGUCCUGAGGGACUCGCCUUAAAGUAAUUGGCAGCCAGUGUUUGGUUUUGAAGCGCAGCACAAGUCGCGAUUCAAAGCUAUACGCCCGCUUCCACAAGCCUUUUUCACUUUUGACCUCGGAUCAGGUAGGGAUACCCGCUGAACUUAAGCAUAUCAAUAAGCGGAGGAAAAGAAACCAACAGGGAUUGCCUUAGUAACGGCGAGUGAAGCGGCAAUAGCUCAAAUUUGAAAUCUGGCUCUUUCAGAGUCCGAGUUGUAAUUUGCAGAGGGCGCUUUGGUGUUGGCAGCGGUCCAAGUUCCUUGGAACAGGACGUCACAGAGGGUGAGAAUCCCGUACGUGGUCGCUAGCCUUCGCCGUGUAAAGCCCCUUCGACGAGUCGAGUUGUUUGGGAAUGCAGCUCUAAAUGGGA